GAUGAACGCUGGCGGCGUGCCUAAUACAUGCAAGUCGAGCGAACGGACGAGAAGCUUGCUUCUCUGAUGUUAGUGGCGGACGGGUGAGUAACACGUGGAUAACCUACCUAUAAGACUGGGAUAACUUCGGGAAACCGUAGCUAAUACCGGAUAAUAUUUUGAACCGCAUGGUUCAAAAGUGAAAGACGGUCUUGCUGUCACUUAUAGAUGGAUCCGCGCUGCAUUAGCUAGUUGGUAAGGUAACGGCUUACCAAGGCAACGAUGCAUAGCCGACCUGAGAGGGUGAUCGGCCACACUGGAACUGAGACACGGUCCAGACUCCUACGGGAGGCAGCAGUAGGGAAUCUUCCGCAAUGGGCGAAAGCCUGACGGAGCAACGACGCGUGAGUGAUGAAGGUCUUCGGAUCGUAAAACUCUGUUAUUAGGGAAGAACAUAUGUGUAAGUAACUGUGCACAUCUUGACGGCACCUAAUCAGAAAGCCACGGCUAACUACGUG
rnacentral:rRNA from 1 species